GACUAUGUCUUGGCUCCAAAUUCUUGCAGGCAGGAGAAAUUCAUUUGGAAAGAAUUGAACCCAAUUAGUUUGUUCCAGCUACUGAGACAAUUGCUAGAGCGUGUAGGGCUGACGGCUCUGCAAUCUAAGGCAGGGGUGUGCAUUGGAGCCCUCAAGAUGGUCAAAGUGAUUCCAACUCCAUUCUUCUCGACGAAAGUAUCCUGAUUUACAACUUCUCCAAGCACAUAGUUUCCUCAGAAGCUUCAGUGAGGCUACCAGAAUCUGAGAAUUUAAAUAUUUUAA
rnacentral:lncRNA from 1 species